rnacentral:siRNA from 1 species
AGCCAUGAACUCGACCUCACUUAG